GACGAACGCUGGCGGCGUGCCUAACACAUGCAAGUCGAACGGAGAAUUACUUGUAACUCCUAGUGGCGAACGGGUGAGUAACGCGUAGACAACCUGCCUCUAAAUUGGGGACAACACCGCGAAAGUGGUGCUAAUACCGAAUGUGGUAUCUUAGUCGCAUGACUGAGAUAAGAAAGGUGGCCUCUAUUUAUAAGCUACCGAUUAGAGAUGGGUCUGCGUCUGAUUAGCUAGUUGGUGAGGUAAUGGCUCACCAAGGCGAGUAUCAGUAGCCGGUCUGAGAGGAUGAACGGCCACACUGGGACUGAGACACGGCCCAGACUCCUACGGGAGGCAGCAGUGGGGAAUCUUCCGCAAUGGACGAAAGUCUGACGGAGCAACGCCGCGUGAGUGAAGAAGGUCUUCGGAUUGUUAAGCUCUGUCGUUUGGGACGAACGUAUCUUGUGUGACUAAUGCAGGGUAAUGACGGUACCAAAGGAGGAAGCCACGGCUAACUACGUGCCAGCAGCCGCGGUAA
rnacentral:rRNA from 1 species